CGCGCACGCCUGACCGGAGCACCCCGCUUCACGGGGGCGUUCUGCGCGUCCUUCCUCCCCGGCUGCCUAGAUCACACGGCCCCGUUUCAUUCAUUUUUACUGAAUAACGGUCGUUGGACAAUUUAGAGAAGCAGCAGAAACCACGAGAAAAACAGUGGAGUCAAACGGCGGUAAGGACCGACAAGGCUGGCGGGGACAUUGAGCAAACGGCGGCUUCUGAGUUGGCACCUGUCCUUCACCACGUUGUGUGGGAAGUGUGGGGAGUCGGGAUUCCCACUCCUCCCCAGCCUUCCGGAAAAAUGCUCGGAAAUUUCCUUCCACAUUGACACCUGAUUACAGUCUAAAUAGUAACCUUAUUCUGAUUGUUAAUGUAACCCUCUCGUAAUCUCUACAAAAAUACUUUAGUUUUUCUAGCU
ensembl:lncRNA LINC01388 long intergenic non-protein coding RNA 1388